rnacentral:rRNA from 1 species
AUUGAACGCUGGAGGCAGGCCUAACACAUGCAAGUCGAGCGGAUGAAGGGAGCUUGCUCCUGGAUUCAGCGGCGGACGGGUGAGUAAUGCCUAGGAAUCUGCCUGGUAGUGGGGGAUAACGUCCGGAAACGGGCGCUAAUACCGCAUACGUCCUGAGGGAGAAAGUGGGGGAUCUUCGGACCUCACGCUAUCAGAUGAGCCUAGGUCGGAUUAGCUAGUUGGUGGGGUAAAGGCCUACCAAGGCGACGAUCCGUAACUGGUCUGAGAGGAUGAUCAGUCACACUGGAAAUGAGGAAAGGUCCCAAAUCCUAAGGGAGGCAGCAAUGGGGAAUAUUGGACGAAGGGGGGAAGCCUGGUCCAGCCAUGCCGGGAGUUUGAAGAAGGGCUUUGGAUUGUAAAAGACUUUAAGUUGGGAGGAAGGGCAGUAAGUUAAUACCUUGCUGUUUUGACGUUACCAACAGAAUAAGCACCGGCUAACUUCGUG